UACGUAGGGUGCAAGCGUUAAUCGGAAUUACUGGGCGUAAAGCGUGCGCAGGCGGUUGUGCAAGACAGAUGUGAAAUCCCCGGGCUUAACCUGGGAAUUGCAUUUGUGACUGCACGGCUAGAGUGUGUCAGAGGGGGGUAGAAUUCCACGUGUAGCAGUGAAAUGCGUAGAUAUGUGGAGGAAUACCGAUGGCGAAGGCAGCCCCCUGGG
rnacentral:rRNA from 1 species